rnacentral:rRNA from 1 species
UACGUAGGGGGCGAGCGUUGUCCGGAAUUACUGGGCGUAAAGGGCGCGUAGGCGGUCACGCACGUCCGUUGUGAAAUCGCUCGGCUCAACUGGGCGGGGUCGGCGGAUACGGCGUGGCUGGAGCAAGCUAGGGGGCAAUGGAAUUCCCGGUGUAGUGGUGGAAUGCGUAGAUAUCGGGAGGAACACCAGUGGCGAAGGCGGUUGCCUGGAGCUUUGCUGACGCUGAUGCGCGAAAGCGUGGGGAGCGAUCCGG